CCUCUCCCUGUCCCACAGCCCAGGAGCGGGAGCUGGGGGGCUGCUGGUAGAGGGUGGAGGGGCCAGGACUGAGACUGAGGAGAUCUUGGCCCACAGGGGCUUCCCUGGGGCCACUGCCCGGGAGACAGGGGAGGAGACUAGACUAGGGCCCCCAAACCUGCCACUCGCCAGAAAGGACUUUCCAAAUGGAAAAAGCCGCAAGGACUGCAGCUGUUGAUGUCAGGAAGUUCUCCCUGCAAUCUGCCCUCAAGGCUUCCCACUGUAGUGCUCUGGCCCUGGGCUCACCUGAGAUUGCUGGGGAAAAGAAAGGGUCAACUGGGAGGUUUAGACACGUGGACAGGGAGUGUGCCUGGCUCUAACAGUUGGAACUGGGAUCAGAGGUGGAGCUGAGGAGGCCGGUCCAGGGAGAAUGCAACACUAGGAGGUCAGACCUGUACCCGACUUGGGAGAUGUCCCCACAUGUCUCCCACCUUGCAAGCCCCUGCUCAGAGGUGUGCUCAGGACAGUGGGGCUGCCUCAGACUAGACUCACCUUUCUCCACUUUUUCCACUCCAGACGAUACUGCUAACAAGCCCAGCAUCAGGCUGGAGUCAGACCACCCUGGAGAGGGGAGAAAGGCUCUCUGGAGCCUAGAUACCUGCAUUUGCAUGUAGGGGUGGGCGGAGCAACAAUGCUUAGAAGACUAUAAAUUGGGGAUUCUAGGGCCUACUGCUUGUAAUCUUAGGGUAAAGCCAUCCCUACAGGAUAGGGCCAUUGGUAGGAGAGGGGUUUCUCUUGAGGUCUCCUAUAGAAUUAGAUAAUAGGAUCCUAUACACACCCUGCUGCAGGAUCCUCACAUAAACCUCCAAAGUCAGGCUCCUCCCCAAGAAUAAGCAAUCAGGACUGUUUCCUACCUAGAGUCAAACUGGACAGUAGGCACUCUGUGUCUUAGGAGCCAGGCCCUUUCCUGGGUGCCAGAGGGUCCAGAGAGAGAAGAGAUGUCUUUGCCAAUCUGACAGAGAUACAGGCCCUGUCCUAGGGGGGACCCCCAGCUAAUGAGGCAGACAAGGUGUCUACUCCAACAUCACCAUGCAUGGAAAACCCUGGGCCAAGUCACAGAUGCAAGUGACAAGCAAGAUGGCAGAGCAGAAAGGGAAACAGGACAAUGGAGGUCUGUAGGUGGGGUGAGACUUGGAAUGGCCUUUGUGAGGGCCCAGAGUGUGGGGAGGAGCAUGGCUCAGAGACUGCCUGGGAUAUGCUUCCCAGGAAUAGGGUCUAAGUAGUUCUGCAAAAUAUAGGGCUGGAGGAGAUGGGGGAAAGGCAUAAAGUCUCUUGAAGAUGGUGAUUGGGAAAUUUUUAUCCAAUGGCAACAGAUGUGUCUGGGUAGGGAAAGGGCAAGAUAAAACUGAUGCUCGUGAUGACCGUUCCAGUGAUAAUUUCAUUACAGGAUAAAGGUAAGGAAUCGAGAAGAGAGGGGCUGGGGUCAGAGAGGUCAUUAAGGAGACUGCUGCAGGCAUCUAGGCUGAUGGGAUAAGCAGGCCCACCAGGAGACACAAGAAGAGGAGGGCAUAUAAACCUGAGGGAAGCUGUGGGGGCAGACCUGGGCCAGGAGAGGGAGAGGGGGAUGAAGAAGAGAAGAAUGAUAGGCAGGGCCAUGAAAGCUGGAUAAGAUGUGGGGAUUGACAGAAGUCUUUGGCCGAAAGAGAAGCUGCUGAAAAUGGAGAAAGAGACGAUUUGGCGAAAGCGCAACAGCUCAGUUCUCAUUUGUUGAAUCUGAAGACAAGACAUCUGCUUGGCAAAAACAGGGGCUGUGGGUAUGGAGACCCCACCUCAAGUGAUGCCCAGCCUAUUGGAAUCAAGGGAGGAACUUCAUCUUAAACUACUUGAUAAUUCGUCUACCUUCCCAAACUCCAGAAGGGUGGGAAGAAAGAAAGCUAGGACAGAAUCUAAAAAAAAAAAAAAAAAAAAACAA